rnacentral:tRNA from 1 species
GGGUGCGUGGCUCAGCUGGUUAGAGCGCACGGUUCACAUCCGUGAGGUCACAGGUUCGAAUCCUGUCGCGCCCA